GAUGAACGCUGGCGGCGUGCCUAAUACAUGCAAGUCGAACGAACAGACGAGGAGCUUGCGCCUUUGACGUUAGCGGCGGACGGGUGAGUAACGCGUGGAUAACCUACUUCUUAGUCUGGGAUAACUUCGGGAAACCGGAGCUAAUACCAGAUAACAUGAUCAACCGGAUGGUUCAACAGUGAAUGGCGGCCUUGCUGUCACUUUUAGACGGAUCCGUGUCGGAUUAGCUAGUUGGUAAGGUAACGGCCUACCAAGGCAACGAUGCGUAGCCGAUCUGAGAGGGUGAUCGGCCACACUGGAACUGAGACACGGUCCAGACUCCUACGGGAGGCAGCAGUGGGGAAUCUUGGGCAAUGGGCGCAAGCCUGACGCAGCAAUACCGCGUGGGUGAAGAAGGCCUUCGGGUCGUAAAGCCCUUUUGUUGGGAAAGAACAGCAGCAGGUUAAAACCCCGCCGUUCUGACGGUACCCAAAGAGUAAGCACCGGCUAACUUCGUG
rnacentral:rRNA from 1 species